rnacentral:rRNA from 1 species
CAGCGGGAGGUGCUUGCACCUCGCCGGCGAGCGGCGGACGGGUGAGUAAUGCAUAGGAAUCUGCCCGGUAGUGGGGGAUAACCUGGGGAAACCCAGGCUAAUACCGCAUACGUCCUACGGGAGAAAGCAGGGGAUCUUCGGACCUUGCGCUAUCGGAUGAGCCUAUGCCGGAUUAGCUAGUUGGUAGGGUAAUGGCCUACCAAGGCAACGAUCCGUAGCUGGUCUGAGAGGAUGAUCAGCCACACUGGGACUGAGACACGGCCCAGACUCCUACGGGAGGCAGCAGUGGGGAAUAUUGGACAAUGGGCGAAAGCCUGAUCCAGCCAUGCCGCGUGUGUGAAGAAGGCUUUCGGGUUGUAAAGCACUUUCAGUGGGGAAGAAAGCCUGUCGGUUAAUACCCGACAGGAACGACAUCACCCACAGAAGAAGCACCGGCUAACUCCGUGCCAGCAGCCGCGGUAAUACGGAGGGUGCGAGCGUUAAUCGGAAUUACUGGGCGUAAAGCGCGCGUAGGCGGCGUGAUAAGCCGGUUGUGAAAGCCCCGGGCUCAACCUGGGAACGGCAUCCGGAACUGUCGCGCUAGAGUGCAGGAGAGGAAGGUAGAAUUCCCGGUGUAGCGGU